CAUGAAUGUAUUCAUAGAUAUACAUACAUGGUAGUCCAUAUAUAGCUAGUCUAGAGUUUUUUUACUAAAUCUUUUGUACUAAAUAGACAACAGUUGGUCACUGUAUCUUCUACUCAGAUCAAAGUUGGGAUCCCACUAUACAUUUCCAUCAGAUUGUAUUGAUUUGCAAGAAUUUCGUCUAGUUGAUAUGUAUUCGAGUGGCUCCAUAGUCGAGGUGAAAGAAAAUUUUUGAUGUCAUUUAGUAAAGUAGACAGCACAUUGAGAGUUCUGAUAGCCACAACAGCAUUUGGGAUGGGUGUUGACAUUCCCAACAUUAGGUGGAUUGUUCAUUGGAGUCCUCCAAGACUCAUCGAAGAUUAUGUCCAAGAGACUGGGCGAACUGGAAGAGAUGGCUUGACAGCAACUGCACUGCUUGUAUAUGGACAUCUGCACAGGACAGUUUCAUCCUCGAUGAAAAAUGAAGACAGUGCAGGAAAAGGAUGUGGUUGUUGUGAUGUUUGUGCACUUAGUUGUGACUGUGGUAACUGCUGUA